GAUGAACGCUGGCGGCGUGCCUAAUACAUGCAAGUCGAGCGAACAGACGCGGCGCUUGCUCCUCUGACGUUAGCGGCGGACGGGUGAGUAACACGUGGAUAACCUCCCUAUAAGACUGGGAUAAUUUCGGGAAACCGGCGCUAAUACCGGAUAAUAUCUUGAACCGUAUGGUUCAUUAGUGAAAGACGGUUUUGCUGUCACUUAUAGAUGGAUCCGCGCCGCAUUAGCUAGUUGGUAAGGUAACGGCUUACCAAGGCAACGAUGCGUAGCCGACCUGACAGGGUGGUCGGCCACACGGGAGCUGAGACACGGUCCAGACGCCUACGAGAGGCAGCAGUAGGGAAUCUUCCGCAAUGGGCGAAAGCCUGACGGAGCAACGCCGCGUGAGUGAUGAAGGUCUUCGGAUCGUAAAACUCUGUUAUUAGGGAAGAACAAAUGUGUAAGUAACUAUGCACGUCUUGACGGUACCUAGUCAGAAAGCCACGGCUAACUACGUG
rnacentral:rRNA from 1 species